AAACCAUGCAUCGGACAUUUACGCAGUAAGUCCUUGAAACGUUCACAUGCCUCAUAUAAAUUCUCAUAUUCUAAUUUCUUGAAAGUUGUCAAGCCAUUUCUCAGGUU